AAAAUAAUAGAUUUGGGAUCCUUUUUCUUUGCCUUCUAGUGUUUGAGCCUUUACAGUUCAUGUUUUCCAGGUUUUCUCCACAACAAUGAGGGUUAGAACCUUCCUUUUUAAAAAAUGAAAGCUGAGAUUCACCUGACUCCAAGACCUGGGUUUUAAAACAUCCCCCCACCACAAACUAUUGAGGGUCAGGAUAAAAUUGUGAGAGUUGGCAACAUGGAUGGACUUGAGCUUGUUCUGAAGAGCUUUCCUAAAUGAAGACUUCCAGGGAUGUGUGCAUGGGGCUUUAUCAUACCUGUUCCUCCAGUCUCCUGCAAGCAGGAUGCAGUGCUCAUGCUGCUGCAGCUGCCCCUGCUCUGCUGACUGCUUCCUCACACCACUCUGUCACAUUGACUUUUUUUUGUUGUGCAGCAAGAAAUAGAGGCAGCUAACAUGAAGCACACUCAUGAACAGCAGACAUCAACACAGGCUCUUGUGGGUUUGUGCCUGAAUGGUAGGGAGGUGCUGGGACUCUGGAUUGAGCGAGACCCCAAAAGAAUUUUCAUGCCAAACAGAAACCAUUUCUUUAUUUCUUUGAGAUGAACAUUUCUCCUAAAGUGCAAGAGAAGAGUUACUAUAAAUGCCAGUACAGAUAGAAGUGUUGGAGAUGUUUGGCUGAAAGGAUUCGUGUUCAGCAGCAUGAUUGCUUGGUUAAGGCUAGUAACAAAACUUAAGAUGGAUUGAAGGGAAGAAGUGGGUAUCAUUUAUAACAAAGUACCUCGUCUGCUAAUCAUAGACUUUCAGUAUCAUGCAGGAACAGAUCUUCAAGAGCAUCACUUUAGCUGGCUUGUAUUUGCUGAUGUACUGAUAUUUAUGGUAAUAUCACUACUUAUUAUGAC